UACGGAGGGUGCAAGCGUUAUCCGGAUUCACUGGGUUUAAAGGGUGCGUAGGUGGGCCUGUAAGUCAGCGGUGAAAUCUCCGGGCUUAACCCGGAAACUGCCAUUGAUACUAUAGGUCUUGAAUUAUCUGGAGGUAAGCGGAAUAUGUCAUGUAGCGGUGAAAUGCUUAGAUAUGACAUAGAACACCAAUUGCGAAGGCAGCUUACUACGGAUAUAUUGACACUGAGGCACGAAAGCGUGGGAUCAAACAGGAUAGAUACC
rnacentral:rRNA from 1 species